AAUGUUUCAAAAUUGUCAACAAAAUUUCUAUUAAUUUCUAAAAUAAUUUACACAUUUUAAAUUGGUAGAAGAUAAAUUUGAUAAGAUAACUCUUAGGUACUGAAAAUAAACUUCGAAACAGCGAUAGGUGGAUGCGUGUGGAGGGACCACAAGAAGGAGGAUUUUUAAAAGGAUCAUCAAGCUGGGAAGUCCUUGAAAUAUAUUUAAAAAAAUGUCCAAGAUUUUUGGCAAGGAAAACCUAAAAAAAGUUCUACAAGUUUUUUUAUUUUA